UCUGGACCCCCUGUCUCUCUUCUGCUGCCCCCACCAGAGCUCUGAGUUAAUAUUUGAAAUGUGGAAAUGAAAAUAAGUGCUUGGAAGAGGAACACUAAAAGCAAUUUGCUGGGAUAUGUUCAUCAUUUGCUGGAUGCCAACUUGGAAAAACAGAGCAGAGCUCUGAGGCCAUGCCAUCAAGCCUUAUGAUCAUUAGCACCGGGCAGUUUCCCUGGAGGCAGACAUCCAUGAAAAUCAUCAGAGAGACAACAUCUUUUAUUCCCUGGAGCAGCACUAGCUGCAGUUUCCUGCAGGGUCCCCUACGAUUUUGGAAGUCAUCAAGGAACCCCAGGGAACCAUAUAUCUCUACCUCCCUAAAGCAGAAUAACAAGUGAGAUUGACAGCCAAGUUUACAUUCAUCUCUUCACAUGACUAUCCAAGAGCAUUCAGCAACUGUUAAGCCUGGGAAAAGGCUGUUGUUAAGGUCUAGACUUCAAAACAGUGGUAGACAAAUAAUUCCAGGUCCUGCAUCCAGAAGAUACCUCUGAAGAUCAUAGAAAAUCCAUUUUCCUGAAGAUACAUUAGAUGCUGGGUCAGAUUCCCUAUAUGGGGGGGGGCGGGGUCUGUGCUCUAAUGAGUCUGAAUGACAAAGACUAUGGUCACGUUGGGAGAGGCAGUUGAUU